rnacentral:rRNA from 1 species
GAUUUCUGGUUCGAUGCGUUUGGCCCUCUCGGAGCAAUCCGGCGUGCGUGCCGAUGCGCGUCUGCCAUCCUUGCAGAGAACGUUUCUACCCUUCACUGGGCCGGAUUCGCAAUCUGCAUCCUUUACUUUGAAAAAAUUAGAGUGUUUAAAGCAGGCUUGUGCUAUGAAUACAUUAGCAUGGAAUAAUAAUUUAGGACUUUGGCCCUAUUUUGUUGGUUUCUAGGACUGAAGUAAUGAUUGAUAGGGAUAGUUGGGGGUGCUCGAAUUCAGCGGCCAGAGGUGAAAUUCUUGGAUUCGCUGAAGACGAACUCAUGCGAAAGCAUU